rnacentral:rRNA from 1 species
UACGGAGGGGGCUAGCGUUGUUCGGAAUUACUGGGCGUAAAGCGCACGUAGGCGGCUUUGUAAGUUAGAGGUGAAAGCCCGGGGCUCAACUCCGGAAUUACCUUUAAGACUGCAUCGCUAGAAUUGUGGAGAGGUAAGUGGAAUUCCCAGUGUAGAGGUGAAAUUCGUAGAUAUUGGGAAGAACACCGGUGGCGAAGGCGGCCAUCUGGACCGGUUCUGACGCUGAGGCGCGAAAGCGUGGGGAGCAAACAGG